AUAAACUUGAUGACAAAGAGAGUAGUCUUAUCAGAUUUCAAGAAGCGAGCUGAAAGAAUGGUGAAAGUUUAGCAAAGAAGAUAAGAUGAAGCGCACUUUCGAGAGGAUUGUCUGAAUUCAUAGGACAAAAGGUUGGAUCCGCCUUAAGGAUGAGAGAGGGUAAUUCUAUUAUCAAGAAGAGUGGUACCGCGUAAAUAUACGUCUCUUGC
rnacentral:ncRNA from 1 species